rnacentral:rRNA from 1 species
GACGAACGCUGGCGGCGUGCUUAACACAUGCAAGUCGAACGGAAACGCCCUGCUUUUGUGGGCUGCUCGAGCGGCGAACGGGUGAGUAACACGUGAGUAACCUGCCCUUGACUUUGGGAUAACUUCAGGAAACUGGGGCUAAUACCGGAUAGGAUCUCCUGCUGCAUGGUGGGGGCUGGAAAGUUUCGGCGGUUGGGGAUGGACUCGCGGCUUAUCAGCUUGUUGGUUGGGUAGUGGCUUACCAAGGCUUUGACCGGUAGCCGGCCUGGGAGGGUGAGCGGGCACAUGAGGACUGAGCUAAGGCCCAGACUCCAACGGGAGGCAAUAGUGGGGAAUAUUGCACAAUAGGCGGAAGCCUGGUGCGGAGACGCCGCGUGCGGGAUGACGGCCUUCGGGUAGUAAACCGCUUCCGCCUGUGACGAAGCGUGAGUGACGGUAAUGGGUGAAGAAGCACCGGCUAACUACGUG